GUGACUGGAGAGAGAAGAAAUCGACUGGAGAAGACGAAGACGACUGGAGAAGAAGAAAUCGACUAAGAACAAGAUCUGCGAAUAAGAACGAUGAAGAAGAAGAGGACGACGACGGCGACGAAGAGAACGAUUGAAGGGCUCGAUUACAGAAGGUUCCGGCUUGAUUACAGAAGAUUAGGGCUCGAUUACUGCUCGAUUUGAAGGAUGACUUUGGAACUCGUGACAAGAUGGAGAUGAGUAAUUUGUGUAGGAGAGAGAGAGGGAGCUGGACCUGUGCAUGAGUGUAUAUAACUUGUGUAGAAUGGCUUUGGACAUGUACUUAAUUUUAAUUGUGGCUGUUUGGUACUCAUUUGAUUUGUAAAUUGGAAUUUGGAACUAUUACUGGAUUUUUGUUGACAAACAACAGUGUACAAGGGUAAGUAAUUCUAGUAGGAUUUGAAA